UACUAUACCAUAUCAGGGAAAAAAAAUGAAAAUAUAAACUAUUAGCGAGACUAUUAGGCAACUAAGUGGGCUUGAAAUCAAGAAACCAUAAAUUCCAAGCUUAUUGUUCCAGAAAAUAUUUCCUAAAAAUCCCUCGCUAGAGUUUGACACAAAUUCCUAGAGAUCUUAAAGUUCCCGAGACAAAAGUCUGAAAAAUUGAGUUGAACCCGCCGAAAUCGAGACAAAACCUCUGCCCCGGAGACCCUGGAGCCCAGUCACUUAAAGGCUGGCAAAACUGUGACAAAUGAUUUUGACGACUUCAUGCCCAGACUGAAACUGGUAACUGGGAACUGGGAACUCUACGUGCGCAUAUAGACCAGAAAUCCGUGAGUCUGCGGGCCAUUUAUCACGCUUACCAUGCUAAUGACAUUUGGCCAAGUCGGACGCCCAGACUCUGGGCCACUUCUCGAGUGCUCCCAAGCAGAGCCGCACUUCUUGGCACUUGGGGCGGCCGAAAUGGCAUAAGCUUGUUAUUGCUGGAUAAGGUUAUAUAAUUAUUUCUUAACGGUUAAGCCGCUGCGAGCGGAGUGUGUGGGCAUUGUUUGUCCAGCGCUUGAUUCUGUCAAUACAGGGUGCCUGCCAUUGGAGAAUUUAUGUAAAUCAUUCCGCACCGCACACACUUCACUCCAGUUCCGUUCCGUUCAGUUCAGCUCACUUCAGCUCAGCUCACUUCACACCGGCCACAAUGACAGGCCGAAAUGGAAAAUGGUUAGUUCGAGUGCUUCACGAGCAAACACUCGAAGCCAGCAGUUCGAAAUUGCCAUAUGAGUACGUACGUAUCGGAGAGACCUAUGUAUCUAGUGCUAAGCCUGGCCCAGAAGUUGGCCAGGCCCCCGAGCGACAUUUAAUUAGAGUCCGCUGCUCGCGUCAUUGCUGGCCGAAAUAAACCUGCAGUUUAUAGCCAACAUAAUUAAGUUAAAAGCUUUUUUACAGUCCCCGCCCGUUCAGUCCGUUCCGCAGAGAAAACCGGACGCAGCUCGCUCAAAUUGAUAAUGAAAAUGAAAAUAAGCAAAGCCCAUGAAGCGUGUUUAAUGGCUAAAUAAAUGCCGGCGUCUAGAUUUCAGCACCCACACCUGUAUCCAUGCAGCUGGCUAUCUGGCUAUCCCAGUAUCUGUGUGUGCUUAAACUUAACGUCGGCCAGGUUAGCAGUUAUAGACGGUAAUUUGGGCCAUUUCCCAAGGCCAGGCCAUUGAUUUGACCCAUGAAGUUGGAAUGAAAAUGGCUGAAUUUCCAUGGCAAAUGUUUAAUAACGGUUGAGGUACUCCGAACUAAUGGAUUAUGUUUUGAAGCACAGCAAUAAAUGUAUUUUCCAAGAUGAUUUUUCUCGGUCGGAAAAUCCGCAAAGAAACUUCGCUUCUAAAACCUUAAAUGUAAUUCAAUAUUUUCAUUAUAAACUGCACAAAAUUUUUGUGGAGAAAGCAUAGGCGAAAUUCAAAACUCACAAUGCUCCCGCUUUCAGGCGUUUUAAAUGACGUAAUUAAUAAGAGGCAAAAGGUUAGGCCCAAAAGCCCCGAAUGUUUUACCUUUUUGCCAGCUCAGCGAAACAGUUUUCCGGCGUUGCCCUUUUUUAUUUGGCAUUUUUUGGGGCAGCCGGGGUAAUUACUUUAUCUGUUGCUGAAGUUGCGCUUCGGUUGGAUAAUAGGAUUAACAAAGAGCCCCUUGAAAGAAACAGAAAACAGCCAGCAAAAAUUCGGAAACUCGAAAGCCAGGCCAAAACUGGCCGUUCGUUGCCUUUCGCAGCUGUCAGAACCAUAACUCAGUGUCAAGUCGAGACUUUGCGGCUAUAUCUGAAUAUCUGAAUAUCUGAAUACGAGUAUCUGCGUGGCCACAAGGCCCCCUACCGCCCCCUCCCGCACCGUUUCGCUUUCGAAAAGACAAAAAGCAAUUGUUCAAUCGGUUGAGGUUGAGCCGCAGGGAGACCGGCGAAAUAGAUUUGCAAACAAUUUGCAACAAUUCAAUCAAAAAAACUUUAAACGCAAAUACAGAACGGACAGACAUCAGCGGGUGGCCAGCAGUCUGGUGGGUGGUGGAAGGUGGAUGUCGGAUGGUGGAUGGUGGAUGGCAGGCGGUCCGGCUUGACGGCCAUCAGAUAACUCACUCACCUGGUGGUCCGACGUCCGCCAUCCGACGUCCAAUUCCCGGGAACCCCUCGAGCCCCUGGAACCUCGAAUCUCCGGCUUCUUUGCGCCCUGUGUCGCUGUCAGUUGGCUUCGCCGUUUGUUUGCCAAGCGUUUGAAUGGGUUAGCGAACAAAGCGCCAAAGAAAUUCAAGGUGAGCGCGGGCUUUUACACCUGGAAGAAAUGGGGAUUACCUGGCAUGGUUAGAAGAGAAGUGAACAGAAUAAUUGGUUAAGUAACAUUGGGGAAGAGUAAUACAUCUAUAAACAAACUCCAGAAAUUUCUUCAAGUGCACACGUAGACAUCCAUUCCUUGGCUUCCAUUCACCGUAGGAUAAGCGCAGAAAUAUUUGCGAGGCAAACAAUGAUAUCCAGCAUUUGCACAGACGUCGUGCGAUUGCGAUAGCGGAAAAUGCAAGUGAUGCCUCUGCGGCGGAAGUCGUAGCUCUCGCCGGAAAAGCGCGAGACAAGUUGAACAGUUUGAACAUCCGAACAUCUGAACAUCUGAGCAUCUGAAUAGUUGCACGUGCAGUUUUUCACCGGCUUCGCGGGAGCAGAACGCCCAGAUGCAUCGAUAGCAUGGCCCAGAGCUUGGAAUUAGCACGGCAAAGGGAGCCAUGCUCAAAGAGAAUCCCAAAAAAAUGUGCCGGAAAGAUGCGACAACCGUCGACAGAUCAACUGGCUGCAACCCAGAAAAAACAGCCCGAACAUGCCGCAAAAAAUAGCAAAAGCGGAAAAAAA
rnacentral:sRNA from 1 species